rnacentral:piRNA from 1 species
UGCUGUUUAAUGAAGUUAGCCGCGGAU